ensembl:lncRNA LINC00870 long intergenic non-protein coding RNA 870
AGUUGCACAGGGCUUUAUGCCUGGCAAGGGCACCCCUUGCUGUGUGCAUCCCAGAGGAGGCACGUCUGAAGUCUGCAGAGGAAGCUUCUAUCUUCCCUUCCAACGAAUUCCUGCUCAGGCCAGCAAGGAAGAGAGUUUGAGUUGUUUAUGGGAGUAACCCUCUGGCCCAAGAUGGCUGCUGGAGCCUCAGCUACUACAUGUGGAUUCCAGGCCAGAAGUAGAGGGAGGGGAAAACAAAGGAGUAUACCUUCCGGGGAUAUCAGCUUUUUUGUAUCAUCUUCCUGAGGUCCUGUGCAUUUCCAUAGUCACAUAUAUGCCCCUAACCGUCUUCUCAGGCCUUAAAUGUUUGGGCGUGUUGUGAAUCUCCAAGACUGAGCCACAAGAUGCAGCAUUUUCCUAAUGACCUCAGGCCCUUUUUGAAUGGGCACUUUUGGGAAUCAGCGUUCUGCAAAGCAUACCUUGGGAAGCCACAGAGAGCUUUUCCCUGAAGCAGGGUUUCUCAACCUGUACGUUGUUGGCAUUUGGGGCAGGAUAAUUCUUAGUUGUGGGCGGCUGUCCUGUGCAUUGGAGGGUAUUUACCAGCAUCCCUGGCCUCUGCUCACCAGAUGCCAAUAGCAAUUCCUCCCCCACCCUGUUGUGACAACCAAAAGUGUCCCCAGGUAUUGCCAAAUGUUCCCUGCUGGCAAAAUGGCCCUCAGAUGAGAACCUUUACUCUAGGGAAAUUUCUAGAAUCAAGAAAAUACAUUGCAAUGAUAGGAGAGACCACUCUCUCAGGUAUGAAUAUUCAGCUGACUGUUAGAGUCCUUGGCAAUAAGAUUGUUAUUUUUUAAAAGAGACAGUAUUACUGGUGAAGAUUCAUUUCAAAAAUGGAAAUGAAAAUAAAAGUUGCUGUUUCUAUGAUAACUAAGUCAAAAACUUAUGGAAAUUUAUGGAACAAGUGCGUAAAUUAAACUUGCUUUAAAAA